AGACAAAUGUAUAAGAAAGCCCACAUGCAUUCCUUGGAAAAUCUGAACAAAAUGAGUGAGAACUCACUACCGUCUCCUCAUCGAAAAUGAGGUCC
rnacentral:snoRNA from 1 species